rnacentral:rRNA from 1 species
AUGCCGCGUGUGUGAAGAAGGCHYUAGGGUNGUAAAGNACUUUAAGCAGGAAAGAAAAGCGCCGGGUUAAUAACCCGAGCGUGUUGACGGUACCUGCAGAAUAAGCACCGGCUAACUUCGUGCCAGCAGCCGCGGUAAUACGAAGGGUGCAAGCGUUAAUCGGAAUUACUGGGCGUAAAGCGAGUGUAGGCGGUUUCGKGUGUCGGAUGUGAAAGCCCCGGGCUCAACCUGGGAAUUGCAUUCGAAACUGCGGAACUAGAAUAUGGUAGAGGAAGACGGAAUUCCACGUGUAGCGGUGAAAUGCGUAGAUAUGUGGAGGAACACCAAUGGCGAAGGCAGUCUUCUGGGCCAAUAUUGACGCUGAGGCUCGAAAGCGUGGGUAGCAAACAGGAUUAGAUACCCUGGUAGUCCACGCCGUAAACGAUGAGAACUAGACGUUGGUUGACAUAGUCGAUCAGUGUCGCAGCUAACGCGUUAAGUUCUCCGCCUGGGGAGUACGGUCGCAAGACUA